UACGAAGGGGGCUAGCGUUGUUCGGAUUUACUGGGCGUAAAGCGCACGUAGGCGGAUCGAUCAGUCAGGGGUGAAAUCCCAGAGCUCAACUCUGGAACUGCCUUUGAUACUGUCGAUCUGGAGUAUGGAAGAGGUGAGUGGAAUUCCGAGUGUAGAGGUGAAAUUCGUAGAUAUUCGGAGGAACACCAGUGGCGAAGGCGGCUCACUGGUCCAUUACUGACGCUGAGGUGCGAAAGCGUGGGGGGCAAAC
rnacentral:rRNA from 1 species